rnacentral:rRNA from 1 species
GACGAACGCUGGCGGCGUGCUUAACACAUGCAAGUCGAACGGAAAGGCCCUGCAUUUGUGGGGUGCUCGAGUGGCGAACGGGUGAGUAACACGUGAGUAACCUGCCCUUGUCUUUGGGAUACCUUAAGGAAACACGAGCUAAUACCGGGUAUGAGCUCCUGCUGCAUGGUGGUGGUUGGAGAGUUUCGCCGGUUGGGGAUGGAGGCGCGGCUUAUCAGCUUGUUGGUGGGGUGGUGGCUUACCAAGGCACUGACGGGUAGCCGGCUUGAGAGGGUGACCGGCCACAUUGGGCCUGAGAUGGGAGCCAGACGCCAACGGGAGGCAGCAGUGGGGAAUAGUGCACGAUGGGCGGAAGCAGGAUGCAGCAACGCCGGGUGCGGGAUGACGGCCGGCGGGGUGGAAAGCGCGUGCGCGUGUGACGAAGCGUGAGUGACGGUAACGGGUAAAGAAGCAACGGCUAACUACGUG